UACAGAGGUCUCAAGCGUUGUUCGGAUUCAUUGGGCGUAAAGGGUGCGUAGGCGGCGCGGUAAGUCGGGUGUGAAAUCUCGGGGCUUAACUCCGAAACUGCAUUCGAUACUGCCGUGCUUGAGGACUGGAGAAGAGACUGGAAUUUACGGUGUAGCGGUGAAAUGCGUAGAUAUCGUAAGGAAGACCAGUGGCGAAGGCGGGUCUCUGGACAGUUCCUGACGCUGAGGCACGAAGGCCAGGGGAGCAAGCGGG
rnacentral:rRNA from 1 species